UACUUCUGUUUAGGGGAACCCAGAGGGAAAAUAUGGCAUUUUAAAAGUAGCCAACAUUUACGGUAGCUAGCUACGGUAGACUACAGAGGAAGUGUGAUAUUUUUAUGUCUUUUUCGGAGCGACAGAGGAAAAAUAUUUCAGUCGGCACAUUAAGUGAACCAAAAUUUGCGUUU